rnacentral:rRNA from 1 species
UACAGAGGAGGCAAGCGUUAUUCGGAAUUAUUGGGCGUAAAGGGCGCGUAGGCGGCUUUGCAAGUGACGGGUGAAAUCCCUCGGCUUAACCGAGGAACUGCCUGUCAAACUGCAUGGCUUGAGACCGGGAGAGGUGAGUGGAAUUCCCAGUGUAGCGGUGAAAUGCGUAGAUAUCUGGAGGAACACCGGUGGCGAAGGCGGCAUCCUGGACCGAUACUGACGCUGAGGAGCGAAAGCCAGGGGAGCAAACGGG